rnacentral:rRNA from 1 species
CGCCCCUUCUUGGUCAUUUAGAGGAAGUAAAAGUCGUAACAAGGUUUCCUAGGUCGCUACAGUUCAGCCUACUAAAGCAAACCUUUUAAAACUGCUAGCUCUCUCCGAGGCGACACGCUCAAUGUUGCGGAGAGGCCCUCUUUUCAGGGGUAAUCCGCAGCCGGCUCCCUAAAGGCUGGUUCAGAGACUCAAUGAGGUGGGUUUGGCCUUUUGGCCAGGCUUAAGAUAGAGCCCGUCCCUGUAGGAACUGCGGGGGAUGAACGGAACCUGCGGAAGGAUCAUUAAAGAAUCGGUACCCUCGCGGUCCCAUUCUCACCCUUUGUAUACCAAACUUCAGUUGCUUGGCUGGCCUUCGCGGGCCGGCCAGAGGACUCAAACCCUUGAAUCUUUGCGUCUGAGUACUAUAUAAUAGUUAAAACUUUCAACAACGGAUCUCUUGGUCUGGCAUCGAUGAAGAACGCAGCGAAAUGCGAUAAGUAAUGUGAAUUGCGAAUUCAGUGAAUCAUCGAAUCUUUGAACGCACAUUGCGCCCUCUGGUAUCCGGGGGGCAUGCCUGUUCGAGCGUCAUUACAACCCUCAAGCUCAGCUGGUAUUGGGCUCGCCCUUCGUAGGCCUGCCUCAAAAUCAGUGGCGGCUCGUCCAGUCUCAAGCGCAGUAAUACUCGUCGCUUGUUAGGCUUGGUCAGCGUUUGCUAGCAACCCCCCCAAUUUUACAAGGUUGACCUCGGAUCAGGUAGGAUACCCGCUGAACUUAAGCAUAUCAAUAAGCGGAGGA